rnacentral:rRNA from 1 species
AUACGUAGGUGACAAGCGUUAUCCGGAUUUACUGGGCGUAAAGGGCGUGUAGGCGGUCUUGCAAGUCAGAAGUGAAAUUCCUGAGCUCAACUCGGGCGCUGCUUCUGAAACUGCAGGACUUGAGUGCUGGAGGGGAUAGCGGAAUUCCUAGUGGAGCGGUAAAAUGCGCAGAUAUUAGGAAGAACACCGGUGGCGAAGGCGGCUAUCUGGACAGUAACUGACGCUGAGGCGCGAAAGCGUGGGGAGCAAACAGGAUUAGAUGCCCUGGUAGUCCACGCCGUAAACGAUGAAUACUAGGUGUAGGGGGUAUCGACUCCCUCUGUGCCGCAGUUAACACAAUAAGUAUUCCGCCUGGGGAGUACGGCCGCAUGGUUGAAACUCAAAGGAAUUGACGGGG